rnacentral:lncRNA from 1 species
UUUACGCGCACUUGAAGCCUGUGGGGACGCCCUUGCCGCAGAAGUUGAGGACGAGGCUGAGGUUGACGGGGAUGUUGAGGUUGAGCCCCAGCACGUUGGCCUUGAUGGCCGUGCAGAGGCACACGGCGGCGUCCAGCUCCACGAGCCCGUUCAGCAGCGGGCAGCACGGCUCGUUCACCGGCACGCCGGCCUUGGCCUUGAUCAGGUCCAGCACGUUGGCACACACGCCGAGCUUCAGCGCGUUCGUCGGGCAGUGGCCGUACCACCCGCUCGUGCCGUCAUUGCCACCGCCGCCACCGCCACCACCACCACCUCCGCCGAUGGGGCCAUAUCCGCCACCACCGCCGCUGCC